rnacentral:pre_miRNA from 1 species
UUAUUACUCCCUCCAUCCGAAAUUACAUGUCGCAAAACUGAAUGUAUCUAGACGUUUAGUUUUAGAUACAUCCAUUUUUAUUCAUUUCUGCGACAAGUAAUUCAGGACGGAGAAGUUUUGC